rnacentral:rRNA from 1 species
AGAGUUUGAUCAUGGCUCAGAUUGAACGCUGGCGGCAGGCCUAACACAUGCAAGUCGAGCGGUAGCGCAGAGAGCUUGCUCUCGGGUGACGAGCGGCGGACGGGUGAGUAAUGUCUGGGAAACUGCCUGAUGGAGGGGGAUAACUACUGGAAACGGUAGCUAAUACCGCAUAACGUCGCAAGACCAAAGUGGGGGACCUUCGGGCCUCAUGCCAUCAGAUGUGCCCAGAUGGGAUUAGCUAGUAGGUGGGGUAAUGGCUCACCUAGGCGACGAUCCCUAGCUGGUCUGAGAGGAUGACCAGCCACACUGGAACUGAGACACGGUCCAGACUCCUACGGGAGGCAGCAGUGGGGAAUAUUGCACAAUGGGCGCAAGCCUGAUGCAGCCAUGCCGCGUGUAUGAAGAAGGCCUUCGGGUUGUAAAGUACUUUCAGCGAGGAGGAAGGCAUUAAGGUUAAUAACCUUAAUGAUUGACGUUACUCGCAGAAGAAGCACCGGCUAACUCCGUGCCAGCAGCCGCGGUAAUACGGAGGGUGCAAGCGUUAAUCGGAAUUACUGGGCGUAAAGCGCACGCAGGCGGUCUGUUAAGUCAGAUGUGAAAUCCCCGGGCUCAACCUGGGAACUGCAUUUGAAACUGGCAGGCUUGAGUCCUGUAGAGGGGGGUAGAAUUC